rnacentral:rRNA from 1 species
GGGUUGUGAGGUUAAGCGACUAAGCGUACACGGUGGAUGCCCUGGCAGUCAGAGGCGAUGAAGGACGUGCUAAUCUGCGAUAAGCGUCGGURAGGUGAUAUGAACCGUUAUAACCGGCGAUUUCCGAAUGGGGAAACCCAGUGUGUUUCGACACACUAUCAUUAACUGAAUCCAUAGGUUAAUGAGGCGAACCGGGGGAACUGAAACAUCUAAGUACCCCGAGGAAAAGAAAUCAACCGAGAUUCCCCCAGUAGCGGCGAGCGAACGGGGAGGAGCCCAGAGCCUGAAUCAGUGUGUGUGUUAGUGGAAGCGUCUGGAAAGGCGCGCGAUACAGGGUGACAGCCCCGUACACAAAAAUGCACAURYUGUGAGCUCGAUGAGUAGGGCGGGACACGUGGUAUCCUGUCUGAAUAUGGGGGGACCAUCCUCCAAGGCUAAAUACUCCUGACUGACCGAUAGUGAACCAGUACCGUGAGGGAAAGGCGAAAAGAACCCCGGCGAGGGGAGUGAAAAAGAACCUGAAACCGUGUACGUACAAGCAGUGGGAGCCUCUUAAUGGGGUGACUGCGUACCUUUUGUAUAAUGGGUCAGCGACUUAUAUUCUGUAGCAAGGUUAACCGAAUAGGGGAGCCGAAGGGAAACCGAGUCUUAACUGGGCGUUAAGUUGCAGGGUAUAGACCCGAAACCCGGUGAUCUAGCCAUGGGCAGGUUGAAGGUUGGGUAACACUAACUGGAGGACCGAACCGACUAAUGUUGAAAAAUUAGCGGAUGACUUGUGGCUGGGGGUGAAAGGCCAAUCAAACCGGGAGAUAGCUGGUUCUCCCCGAAAGCUAUUUAGGUAGCGCCUCGUGAAUUCAUCUCCGGGGGUAGAGCACUGUUUCGGCAAGGGGGUCAUCCCGACUUACCAACCCGAUGCAAACUGCGAAUACCGGAGAAUGUUAUCACGGGAGACACACGGCGGGUGCUAACGUCCGUCGUGAAGAGGGAAACAACCCAGACCGCCAGCUAAGGUCCCAAAGUCAUGGUUAAGUGGGAAACGAUGUGGGAAGGCCCAGACAGCCAGGAUGUUGGCUUAGAAGCAGCCAUCAUUUAAAGAAAGCGUAAUAGCUCACUGGUCGAGUCGGCCUGCGCGGAAGAUGUAACGGGGCUAAACCAUGCACCGAAGCUGCGGCAGCGACACUAUGUGUUGUUGGGUAGGGGAGCGUUCUGUAAGCCUGUGAAGGURGCCUGUGAGGGUUGCUGGAGGUAUCAGAAGUGCGAAUGCUGACAUAAGUAACGAUAAAGCGGGUGAAAAGCCCGCUCGCCGGAAGACCAAGGGUUCCUGUCCAACGUUAAUCGGGGCAGGGUGAGUCGAYCCCUAAGGCGAGGCCGAAAGGCGUAGUCGAUGGGAAACAGGUUAAUAUUCCUGUACUUGGUGUUACUGCGAAGGGGGGACGGAGAAGGCUAUGUUGGCCGGGCGACGGUUGUCCCGGUUUAAGCGUGUAGGCUGGUUUUCCAGGCAAAUCCGGAAAAYCAAGGCUGAGGCGUGAUGACGAGGCACUACGGUGCUGAAGYGACAAAUGCCCUGCUUCYAGGAAAAGCCUCUAAGCAUCAGGUAACAUCAAAUCGUACCCCAAACCGACACAGGUGGUCAGGUAGAGAAUACCAAGGCGCUUGAGAGAACUCGGGUGAAGGAACUAGGCAAAAUGGUGCCGUAACUUCGGGAGAAGGCACGCUGAUAUGUAGGUGAAGCGACUUGCUCGUGGAGCUGAAAUCAGUCGAAGAUACCAGCUGGCUGCAACUGUUUAUUAAAAACACAGCACUGUGCAAACACGAAAGUGGACGUAUACGGUGUGACGCCUGCCCGGUGCCGGAAGGUUAAUUGAUGGGGUUAGCGGUAACGCGAAGCUCUUGAUCGAAGCCCCGGUAAACGGCGGCCGUAACUAUAACGGUCCUAAGGUAGCGAAAUUCCUUGUCGGGUAAGUUCCGACCUGCACGAAUGGCGUAAUGAUGGCCAGGCUGUCUCCACCCGAGACUCAGUGAAAUUGAACUCGCUGUGAAGAUGCAGUGUACCCGCGGCAAGACGGAAAGACCCCGUGAACCUUUACUAUAGCUUGACACUGAACAUUGAGCCUUGAUGUGUAGGAUAGGUGGGAGGCUUUGAAGUGUGGACGCCAGUCUGCAUGGAGCCGACCUUGAAAUACCACCCUUUAAUGUUUGAUGUUCUAACGUUGGCCCSUAAUCSGGGUUGCGGACAGUGUCUGGUGGGUAGUUUGACUGGGGCGGUCUCCUCCUAAAGAGUAACGGAGGAGCACGAAGGUUGGCUAAUCCUGGUCGGACAUCAGGAGGUUAGUGCAAUGGCAUAAGCCAGCUUGACUGCGAGCGUGACGGCGCGAGCAGGUGCGAAAGCAGGUCAUAGUGAUCCGGUGGUUCUGAAUGGAAGGGCCAUCGCUCAACGGAUAAAAGGUACUCCGGGGAUAACAGGCUGAUACCGCCCAAGAGUUCAUAUCGACGGCGGUGUUUGGCACCUCGAUGUCGGCUCAUCACAUCCUGGGGCUGAAGUAGGUCCCAAGGGUAUGGCUGUUCGCCAUUUAAAGUGGUACGCGAGCUGGGUUUAGAACGUCGUGAGACAGUUCGGUCCCUAUCUGCCGUGGGCGCUGGAGAACUGAGGGGGGCUGCUCCUAGUACGAGAGGACCGGAGUGGACGCAUCACUGGUGUUCGGGYUGUCAUGCCAAUGGCACUGCCCGGUAGCUAAAUGCGGAAGAGAUAAGUGCUGAAAGCAUCUAAGCACGAAACUUGCCCCGAGAUGAGUUCUCCCUGACUCCUUGAGAGUCCUGAAGGAACGUUGAAGACGACGACGUUGAUAGGCCGGGUGUGUAAGCGCAGCGAUGCGUUGAGCUAACCGGUACUAAUGAACCGUGAGGCUUAACCUUACAACGCCGAAG